AUGUGCCUUUAAUUCUUUGCUUUUCACUUUCAGUGAAUUCUGGAAGCCUGCAAUAGAAAACAGAGAAAAGCAUAAACCCCUCAAACUGGGAAGAACAGACUUUCCUCUGACCAGAAAAGAGACACCUGAUGGCUAGAAGUCCUGCUCAACAUCACACAAGAAGUUUGACCAACAUCCUACUUUAUAAGACAAGAAACAGUGUUUGCCCAGUAAGGAGUGUGGAAAUGGGAGGAAAUGGUGAUAAUCAUUUUGAUUGUCACAUGGUCACCUAUGGACUUAGUUUGUCACAAAACCCUAUGGAGAACCCAGAGCUGCAGUGUUCACAAGUGACCAGUUUCAAGCCCACUCUUCUGCAAAAUCACAACUGGCUCUGACAGAAGUAAGCAUUAAAUAGUGCCUGCUAGCAGCCAGUGACAUCCAGGGGUUCCUGUCCCUGCUCAGGGGAGCUGUCAUGAGCCCAUCAAAACACUGUACUCCUGCUUGUGUAUACGGAAGAUACAGCCAGGCAGCUCUGCUAACAUGUGCUUCCCAGCAGCCGGGGAACAGGCAUCUGCUGCAAGAGGAGCUCUUCUCUGUGUGUCAGUAGUAGCACUUGGUAGGUUGUGGCGGAGGAUAAUACAGUGUUGUCUCAUAAACUCUGGCUUCUGCAUAGGAAACAAAACUUGUGAGCUUUGUCUCAGAGAUCCACACUUUGAACACACCUCAUGUAAUGCUGGUAUACCUGGUACCAGCACCACAAGCGAAAGGCAAGGUACCAUAAUUCUUCUAGAAUAUUGAGAUACUUGGGCAUGUUACCUCAUAAAUCAACAAACAUGACUUUGUUCUGUUAUUAAUGGCAGCAACCACCAGAGAAGAAAUAGCAUGUCCAAAAAAGUGCCUAAGAAUGCAAGUGGUUAAGGCAUAUACAAAAGCAUAACUCAAAUCUUGAAGAGACCCGCCUUUGCUGCAGAGCACAUACUGACUCUUCUACCAUCUCCCGCAUUUCAAAACAAGUGGUCAUUCCCAUUUGCACAAAUGAGUGAUCAGGAAUAGCCCAGAUCUAAUACACCCCAUUAAAUUGCUAUUAAUGUUAAGAGAAAAAA